GACGAACGCUGGCGGCGUGCUUAACACAUGCAAGUCGAACGGAAAGGCCUGCUUUCCCUUGUGGAUUGCGGGUACUCGAGUGGCGAACGGGUGAGUAACACGUGAGUGAUCUGCCCCCAACUUGGGUAUAAGCCUGGGAAACUGGGUCUAAUUCCCGAUAGGACUGCAGGGUGGUGCCUGUGGUGGAAAACGAUUUUCUAGUGGUUGGGGAUGAGCUCGCGGCCUAUCAGCUUGUUGGUGGGGUAAUGGCCUACCAAGGCGGCGACGGGUAGCCGGCCUGGGAGGGUGGACGGCCACAUUGGGACUGAGAUACGGCCCAGACUCCGACGGGAGGCAGCAGUGGGGAAUAUUGCACAAUGGGCGGAAGCCUGAUGCAGCGACGCAGCGUGGGGGAUGACGGCCUUCGGGUUGUAAACUCCUUUCGACCGCGAGGAAGCCACCUGGUUGGAAGGGUGGUGACGGUAGUGGUAGAAGAAGCACCGGCUAACUACGUG
rnacentral:rRNA from 1 species